UGGGGAAUAUUGCGCAAUGGGCGAAAGCCUGACGCAGCGACGCCGCGUGGAGGAUGAAGGUCUUCGGAUUGUAAACUUCUGUUAAGUGGGAAGAAAAAUUUACGUUUAAUACACGUAGGCUAUGACGGUACCAUUAGAGAAAGCACCGGCUAACUUCGUGCCAGCAGCCGCGGUAAUACGAAGGGUGCGAGCGUUAUUCGGAAUUAUUGGGCGUAAAGGGUGUGUAGACGGUAUAUUAAGUCUGUUGUUAAAUCUUCUGGCCUAACCAGAAAUCUGCAGUAGAUACUGAUGUGCUAGAGGGUGGAAGAGAGAAGUGGAAUUCUCGGAGUAGCGGUAAAAUGCGUAGAUCUCGAGAGGAACACCAAUGGCGAAGGCAGCUUCUUGGUCCAUACCUGACGUUGAGGCACGAAAGCGUGGGGAGCAAACAG
rnacentral:rRNA from 1 species